UGAGGAAUAUUGGUCAAUGGGCGGAAGCCUGAACCAACCAAGUCGCGUGAGGGAAGAAGGCCCUGCGGGUCGCAGACCUCUUUGGACGGGGAGCAAGGCCGCCGACGUGUCGGCGGAAGGAGAGUACCCGUAGAACAAGCAUCGGCUAACUCCGUGCC
rnacentral:rRNA from 1 species